rnacentral:lncRNA from 1 species
UCCUUGUGAAAUAUUGAAUUCUGUAGAUUAUCCAUGAUGUUUGUAAUUAAAUAUUUAAUUCAUUAACGAUUUUGUCCUAUUAUGCCGAUCAUUUACACUCAUUUCAUUAAAUACAUCACUUGACUGCCACAUUUUCAAGGAAUGGGACUACUGACCUAGCUAUGCAAAUUACCCACGUUGACGUCACACCAUCUAUGGCGUAACGCUCACAACAUUGAGCGCCAAAUUUGACUCAAUCCAGUUUCUCUGUCUCCGUAUUAAAAACGUCUUAUAUUUGACUACCUGUAGGGUUCUACCAAAGGUAGUACCCUACACCCCGUAAAAAAAUAUGUAAAAUUUCCAAAUUUCAAUAAAACUUUUUAGAUAAUGAAAAAAACGUUGUUUUCGCAUUACACUUUGUACCCGAAUUUCCAUAAAACUCGCCCGAUUCGGACUAAGACCGGGGAUAAAUUCGUUAUCUACGUUCAUAUCCGUAGAUAUGGAUAUUUUAACACCCUUCAGUACCCUGUACACCCUUCGGCUACGCCUCAUGGUGUACUGGGGUACUUCAGGGUGUUAAAAUAUCCAUAUCUACGGAUAUGAACGUAGAUAACUUAUAAU